AGGACGAACGCUGGCGGCGUGCUUAACACAUGCAAGUCGAGCGGAAAGGCCCUUCGGGGUACUCGAGCGGCGAACGGGUGAGUAACACGUGAGCAACCUGCCCUUAGCUCCGGGAUAGCUCCGGGAAACCGGAAUUAAUACCGGAUACGACCACGGCCGACAUCUGCUGUGGUGGAAAGGAUUCCGGCUAAGGAUGGGCUCGCGGCCUAUCAGCUAGUUGGUGGAGUAACGGCCCACCAAGGCGACGACGGGUAGCCGGCCUGAGAGGGCGACCGGCCACGACUGGGACUGAGACACGGCCCAGACUCCUACGGGAGGCAGCAGUGGGGAAUAUUGCGCAAUGGGCGAAAGCCUGACGCAGCGACGCCGCGUGGGGGAUGAAGGCCUUCGGGUUGUAAACCCUUUCAGCAGGGACGAAGCGAAAGUGACGGUACCUGCAGAAGAAGCGCCGGCUAACUACGUGCCAGCAGCCGC
rnacentral:rRNA from 1 species